UGAACGCUGGCGGCGUGCCUAAUACAUGCAAGUCGCGCGAACAGACGAGGAGCUUGCUCCUCUGACGUUAGCGGCGGACGGGUGAGUAACACGUGGAUAACCUACCUAUAAGACUGGGAUAACUUCGGGAAACCGGAGCUAAUACCGGAUAAUAUAUUGAACCGCAUGGUUCAAUAGUGAAAGACGGUUUUGCUGUCACUUAUAGAUUGAUCCGCGCCGCAUUAGCUAGUUGGUAAGGUAACGGCUUACCAAGGCAACGAUGCGUAGCCGACCUGAGAGGGUGAUCGGCCACACUGGAACUGAGACACGGUCCAGACUCCUACGGGAGGCAGCAGUAGGGAAUCUUCCGCAAUGGGCGAAAGCCUGACGGAGCAACGCCGCGUGAGUGAUGAAGGUCUUCGGAUCGUAAAACUCUGUUAUUAGGGAAGAACAAAUGUGUAAGUAACUAUGCACGUCUUGACGGUACCUAAUCAGAAAGCCACGGCUAACUACGUG
rnacentral:rRNA from 1 species